UUUUGACUAAUUUGACCUCAAAUCAGGUAGGACUACCCGCUGAACUUAAGCAUAUCAAUAAGCGGAGGAAAAGAAACUAACAAGGAUUCCCCUAGUAACUGCGAGUGAAGAGGGAAAAGCUCAAAUUUAAAAUCUGGUAGUCUCUGGCUGCCCGAGUUGUAAUCUAGAGAAGCAUUAUCCGCGCCGGACCAUGUACAAGUUUUCCUGGAAUGGAGCGUCAUAGAGGGUGAGAAUCCCGUCUUUGACAUGGGCUACCGGGGCUUUGUGAUGUGCUCUCCAAGAGUCGAGUUGUUUGGGAAUGCAGCUCUAAAUGGGUGGUAAAUUCCAUCUAAAGCUAAAUAUUGGCGAGAGACCGAUAGCGAACAAGUACCGUGAGGGAAAGAUGAAAAGAACUUUGGAAAGAGAGUUAAACAGUACGUGAAAUUGUUGAAAGGGAAACGCUUGAAGUCAGUCGCGUCUGCCAGGAAUCAACCUUGCAUUUUUGCUGGGUGUACUUUCUGGUUGGACGGGUCAGCAUCAAUUUUGAUCAGUGGAAAAAGUUCAGAGGAAUGUGGCACCUUCGGGUGUGUUAUAGCCUUUGUUCGUAUACAUUGAUUGGGAUUGAGGAACUCAGCAUGCCGYAAGGCYGGGUCUUUUGACUACGUUCAUGCUUAGGAUGCUGGCAUAAUGGCUUUAAUYGACCCGUCUUGAAACACGGACCAAGGAGUCUAACAUGCCCGCGAGUGUUUGGGUGGAAAACCCAGACGCGUAAUGAAAGUGAAGGUUGAGAUCCCUGUCGUGGGGAGCAUCGACGCCCGGACCAGAACUUCUGUGACGGAUCCGCGGUAGAGCGUGUAUGUUGGGACCCGAAAGAUGGUGAACUAUGCCUGAAUAGGGUGAAGCCAGAGGAAACUCUGGUGGAGGCUCGUAGCGAUUCUGA
rnacentral:rRNA from 1 species